ACAGAAAAUCGACUGAAGCGGCAGCGAAGCCUAAGGUCAACCCGAAGAAUCCUACGGUUAAGAACACAGCAAAAGCGCCUACCGCGAGGCAUCGAGUGACAAAAGCAGUGCAGGGAAAACAACGUGGACCAAAAGCCAAGAAAAAUAAGAGACUCCAGCACAACGCCAAGAAGAAUCGUGCCAAUGUUUCUCAUUCUAAGAGCAAGGCAGUGACUAAAAUCAGUCAAAGGUAU